CGCAAAGCGAGGACGGCACAGAAGGCAUACGCACGACAGUUCUACACCCCGCCGCGGCUGAAUUGCAGAAAGAAGGGGGUGGGGCCUGCUGGUCGUCACAGGGACAGCUCGCGCCUGCGCCACGCGACUCUUGACUGGCCCGCCCCGCAGGCGACGGAGGCCAAUGGGAGUCCCGCUUGGAGGUGCGAGGCGCGGAGGGUAAACCGAGAACUAGCUGGAAAGCCUCCUCUUCCCGGCGACGUGGCACGGCUGCCAACUCCGCGCCGUGCCAGGUCCCAGGGGCGUUCCCCUCCAGCUCGGAAACCCGCGGUGACUUGACGGAGAUCCUUCCAGGCCCCUAACGUCAGGACUGGGGGACUCUCACUAGGGGCGGAAACCAGUCCUGUGUGCCUAACCCUCGACCCUGAGCCCAACAGCGGAGGGUGUACACAAGAGGCCGAACUCGCUCAUCGAGCUCAGAGCAGAGACUCAGGAAGCGAGAGUUGUGCAGAGCCAGCCUGGAACAAAGACAAGGGUGUACCGGUUACUGAGGGAGACGUCACCAUGAAGACCUGAAGGCCGAUGACAAAACUUGACCACAGGGCGUCUGGCAGAGGGUACAGUCUGGACUCGGUACACUCCAGGGACACAGCCCCGAAGAAUGGAUCCCACCAACUCCAGCAUUGCUGCCCCCUCUGGUUUCUCCCCCUUCAGGGCCUCUGCCAGUUCCAGGGCCUUCCCCAAGUUCCCCUCUCCCAGGUCCUCCUGCAGUGGUGAGGCUGGAGGCAGGGACUGGGGAGAGGCGAGGGUCUCAGAGGCCAAAGCAGAGUCUGGAGUCUGGGGUGCCAGGGAAGAGGAAGGAGUUUCAAAAUCCAGGGCUUCUGAGUCUGGAGGAGAAGGAGGCUGUGAAUCUGGAGGGGAAGCUGGGGUACAGGCCAGGGCUUGAGGAUCCAGUGGUGAUGCAAGGGCUGAGUCCAAAGAUGGAGACUCUGGGGCCUUUGGGGCUGGCUGUGGAUAGAAAUGAGCUCAGUGAAUUAUUCACCUCUCAUGCUGUCCCCCAUUUGGGCAACAUCCCCCAAGAUCUAUCAUUACUGCUUAUGUGCCAGGCCCUGGUCCAGGGGUUUUAUAUAUACGAACUCUAUUUCACAACCUCUUAUUAAAAUUAAAAAUAACGUUUUAAUGCCACAAAAUAAGUGGUCUGUAUUCUACCAAGAUGUCACUGUCAUGAAAAGACCAAAGAAGGCAGAGGAACUGUAAAGGAGUCUGAGGGGGACAACACAAGCCUGCUGGUGGGCAGCUGAUGAAAGCGGAGGAUGGGCUGCAGACUAAAGUCUCCUAACAUUUUACGCUUGCAUAAGGUAACAUGUCUGUCCUGCGGCUGUACACAAGGAUGCCUUUUUGUUUCCCUACUGGACACUGGACUGUGACAGGCAUCAUGUACGCAACCUGCCCUCAAAUGAUUCUGAAAAUAUAAAGUGUAUAUGUGUGCAUGUGUACAUACAUAGGGAGAAUGAUAAAACAAAUUUAUUUUUUAAAUAACCCAUUUUGUGGGGUGCCUGGGUGGCUCAGUGG